AGCACCUCUUGGCCCUUUGGCUAAGAUCAAGUGUAGCGUCUGUCCUCAUCAGCUCGCUCUCCGAUGUGAGGUCAGCACAUGAACUGUUUUUUGCCAUCUGGGGGAGGAACAGGAGCUUGCUCUCCAGCCAUGGCAGUGCAGUCCCUCUCGGAGGGGGAAGCGCAGCACCCCA
rnacentral:snRNA from 1 species